rnacentral:rRNA from 1 species
GACGAACGCUGGCGGCGUGCUUAACACAUGCAAGUCGAACGGAAAGGCCCUGCUUUUGUGGGGUGCUCGAGUGGCGAACGGGUGAGUAACACGUGAGUAACCUGCCCUUGACUUUGGGAUAACUUCAGGAAACUGGGGCUAAUACCGGAUAGGAGCUCCUGCUGCAUGGUGGGGGUUGGAAAGUUUCGGCGGUUGGGGGUGGACUCGCGGCUUAUCAGCUUGUUGGUGGGGUAGUGGCUUACCAAGGCUUUGACGGGUAGCCGGCCUGAGAGGGUGACCGGCCACAUUGGGACUGAGAUACGGCCCAGACUCCUACGGGAGGCAGCAGUGGGGAAUAUUGCACAAUGGGCGGAAGCCUGAUGCAGCAACGCCGCGUGCGGGAUGACGGCCUUCGGGUUGUAAACCGCUUUCGCCUGUGACGAAGCGUGAGUGACAGUAAUGGGUAAAGAAGCACCGGCUAACUACGUG